UACGAAGGGGGCUAGCGUUGCUCGGAAUCACUGGGCGUAAAGCGCACGUAGGCGGGUCGUUAAGUCGGGGGUGAAAUCCUGGAGCUCAACUCCAGAACUGCCUUCGAUACUGGCGAUCUUGAGUCUGGGAGAGGUGAGUGGAACUCCGAGUGUAGAGGUGAAAUUCGUAGAUAUUCGCAAGAACACCAGUGGCGAAGGCGGCCAACUGGUCCGGUACUGACGCUGAGGUGCGAAAGCGUGGGGAGCAAACAGG
rnacentral:rRNA from 1 species